rnacentral:rRNA from 1 species
UACGGGGGGGGCAAGCGUUGUUCGGAAUUACUGGGCGUAAAGGGCUCGUAGGUGGCCAACUAAGUCAGACGUGAAAUCCCUCGGCUUAACCGGGGAACUGCGUCUGAUACUGGAUGGCUUGAGUUCGGGAGAGGGAUGCGGAAUUCCAGGUGUAGCGGUGAAAUGCGUAGAUAUCUGGAGGAACACCGGUGGCGAAGGCGGCGGCCUGGGUUGACACUGACGCUGAGGCGCGAAAGCGUGGGGAGCAAACAGG